GACGAACGCUGGCGGCGUGCUUAACACAUGCAAGUCGAACGGAAAGGCCCUGCUUUUGUGGGGUGCUCGAGUGGCGAACGGGUGAGUAACACGUGAGUAACCUGCCCUUGACUUUGGGAUAACUUCAGGAAACUGGGGCUAAUACCGUAUAGGAGCUCCUGCUGCAUGGUGGGGGUUGGAAAGUUUCGGCGGUUGGGGAUGGACUCGCGGCUUAUCAGCUUGUUGGUGGGGUAGUGGCUUACCAAGGCUUUGACGGGUAGCCGGCCUGAGAGGGUGACCGGCCACAUUGGGACUGAGAUACGGCACAGACUGCUACGGGAGGCAGCAGUGGGGAAUAUUGCACAAUGGGCGGAAGCCUGAUGCAGCAACGCCGCGUGCGGGAUGACGGCCUUCGGGUUGUAAACCGCUUUCGCCUGUGACGAAGCGUGAGUGACGGUAAUGGGUAAAGAAGCACCGGCUAACUACGUG
rnacentral:rRNA from 1 species